UACGUAGGUGGCAAGCGGUGUCCGGAUUUAUUGGGUUUAAAGGGUGCGUAGGCGGUUUAUUAAGUCAGUGGUGAAAGACGAUAGCUUAACUAUCGAGGUGCCAUUGAUACUGAUGAACUUGAGUGCACACGAGGUAAGCGGAAUGGACGGUGUAGCGGUGAAAUGCAUAGAUAUCGUCCAGAACACCGAUAGUGAAGACAGCUUACCAGAGUGCAACUGACGCUGAGGCACGAAAGUGUGGGGAUCAAACAGG
rnacentral:rRNA from 1 species